rnacentral:rRNA from 1 species
CCUACGGGCGGCAGCAGUGGGGAAUAUUGGGCAAUGGGCGCAAGCCUGACCCAGCAACGCCGCGUGAAGGAAGAAGGCUUUCGGGUUGUAAACUUCUUUUAGCAGGGACGAAGGAAGUGACGGUAACGGAGGAAUAAGCCACGGCUAACUACGUGCCAGCAGCCGCGGUAAUACGUCGGGGGCAAGCGUGAUCCGGAUUUACUGGGUGUAAAGGGCGUGUAGGCGGGACUGCAAGGCAGAUGUGAAAACCCCGGGCUCAACCUGUGGCCUGCAUUUGAAACUGUAGUUCUUGAGUCCUGGAGAGGCCGCCGGAUUUCCUUGUGUAGCGGUGAAAUGCGUAGAUAUUCGGAGGAACCCCAGUGGCGAAGGCGGUCUGCUGGACAGCAACUGACGCUGAGGCGCGAAAGCGUGGGGAGCAAACAGGAUUAGAUACCCCUGUAGUC